UGGUUAAAAAGCUCGUAGUUGGAUCUCGGCGGACUGAGGGCGGUUUGCUUGCUAGUAUUACUGCCCUAUAGUCCGUAGUUUUGCCAGAGGUUUCGGGGUGCUCUUAAUCGAGUGUCCCGGGAUGCCGGCAGGUUUACUUUGAAAAAAUUAGAGUGCUCAAAGCAGGCUAUUACGCCUGAAUAUUCGUGCAUGGAAUAAUAGAAUAGGAAGUCGUUUCUAUUUUGUUGGUUUUCGGAAAUCGACUUAAUGAUUAAUAGGGACAGUCGGGGGCAUUUGUAUUCAAACGACAGAGGUGAAAUUCUUGGACCGUUUGAAGACAAACUACUGCGAAAGCAUUUGCCAAGAAUGUUUUCAUUAAUCAAGAACGAAAGUUAAAGGUUCGAAGGCGAUUAGAUACCGCCCUAGUUUUAACCAUAAACGAUGCCAGCUAGCGAUCUGCGGACGUUUUUUUUGUAGACUCCGCAGGAAGCUUCCGGGAAACCAAAGCAUUUGGGUUCCAGGGGAAGUAUGGU
rnacentral:rRNA from 1 species